GGGAUGGUGGCUCAGUGGUAGAGAGCUUGCCUUGCAUGCAUGAGGCCCUGGGUUCGAUUCCUCCUACCA
rnacentral:tRNA from 1 species